AGAGUUUGAUCCUGGCUCAGGAUGAACGCUGGCGGCGUGCCUAACACAUGCAAGUCGAGCGAGAAGGUUAUGAUUGAUUCUUCGGAUGAGAGAUUAACUGGAAAGCGGCGGACGGGUGAGUAACGCGUGAGUAACCUGCCCCAUACACAGGGAUAGCCAUUGGAAACGAUGAUUAAUACCUGAUAACACAUAAUUAACACAUGUUAUUUAUGUCAAAGAUUUAUCGGUAUGGGAUGGACUCGCGUCUGAUUAGCUAGUUGGUGAGGUAACGGCUCACCAAGGCGACGAUCAGUAGCCGACCUGAGAGGGUGAUCGGCCACACUGGAACUGAGACACGGUCCAGACUCCUACGGGAGGCAGCAGUGGGGAAUAUUGCACAAUGGGCGCAAGCCUGAUGCAGCAACGCCGCGUGAACGAAGAAGGCCUUCGGGUCGUAAAGUUCUUUUCUUAGGGAAGAAAAAUGACGUACCUAAGGAAUAGAACCGCUAAAUA
rnacentral:rRNA from 1 species